rnacentral:misc_RNA from 1 species
UCCGAGUCGACCCCGGCAGUCUCCCAUGAGUCCCCGGCAUUACCCGCUGGCAACAUGGAACGAGGGUUGCGCUCGUUGCGGGACUUAACCCAACAUCUCACGACACGAGCUGACGACAACCAUGCACCACCUGUGCAAGGCCCUUGCGGACCUGAUAUCUCUACCAGAUUUCCCUGCAUGUCAAGCCUAGGUAAGGUUCUUCGCGUCGCCUCGAAUUAAGCAACAUGCUCCGCCGCUUGUGCGGGCCCCCGUCAAUUCCUUUGAGUUUUAGCCUUGCGGCCGUACUCCCCAGGCGGGGCGCUUAAUGCGUUAGCUACGGCACGGAGGCCGUGGAAGGACCCCCACACCUAGCGCCCAACGUUUACGGCGUGGACUAC